AUUGAACGCUGGCGGCAUGCCUUACACAUGCAAGUCGAACGGCAGCACGGGAGCAAUCCUGGUGGCGAGUGGCGAACGGGUGAGUAAUAUAUCGGAACGUGCCCAGUCGUGGGGAUAACGUAGCGAAAGCUACGCUAAUACCGCAUACGAUCUAUGGAUGAAAGCGGGGGAUCGCAAGACCUCGCGCGAUUGGAGCGGCCGAUAUCAGAUUAGGUAGUUGGUGAGGUAAAGGCUCACCAAGCCGACGAUCUGUAGCUGGUCUGAGAGGACGACCAGCCACACUGGGACUGAGACACGGCCCAGACUCCCUACGGGAGGCAGCAGUGGGAAUUUUUGGACAAUGGGCGCAAGCCUGAUCCAGCAAUGCCGCGUGCAGGAUGAAGGCCUUCGGGUU
rnacentral:rRNA from 1 species